rnacentral:rRNA from 1 species
AUCCUACGGGUGGCAGCAGUGGGGAAUAUUGGACAAUGGGGGGAACCCUGAUCCAGCCAUGCCGCGUGUGUGAAGAAGGCCUUAUGGUUGUAAAGCACUUUAAGCGAGGAGGAGGCUACUGAGACUAAUACUCUUGGAUAGUGGACGUUACUCGCAGAAUAAGCACCGGCUAACUCUGUGCCCGCAGCCGCGGUAAUACAGAGGGUGCGAGCGUUAAUCGGAUUUACUGGGCGUAAAGCGUGCGUAGGCGGCUUUUUAAGUCGGAUGUGAAAUCCCCGAGCUUAACUUGGGAAGUGCAUUCGAUACUGGGAAGCUAGAGUAUGGGAGAGGAUGGUAGAAUUCCAGGUGUAGCGGUGAAAUGCGUAGAGAUCUGGAGGAAUACCGAUGGCGAAGGCAGCCAUCUGGCCUAAUACUGACGCUGAGGUACGAAAGCAUGGGGAGCAAACAGGAUUAGAUACCAGUGUAGUCCA